rnacentral:rRNA from 1 species
AUUGAACGCUGGCGGCAGGCUUAACACAUGCAAGUCGAGCGGAGAUGAGGUGCUUGCACCUUAUCUCAGCGGCGGACGGGUGAGUAAUGCCUAGGAAUCUGCCUGGUAGUGGGGGACAACGUUUCGAAAGGAACGCUAAUACCGCAUACGUCCUACGGGAGAAAGCAGGGGACCUUCGGGCCUUGCGCUAUCAGAUGAGCCUAGGUCGGAUUAGCUAGUUGGUGAGGUAAAGGCUCACCAAGGCGACGAUCCGUAACUGGUCUGAGAGGAUGAUCAGUCACACUGGAACUGAGACACGGUCCAGACUCCUACGGGAGGCAGCAGUGGGGAAUAUUGGACAAUGGGCGAAAGCCUGAUCCAGCCAUGCCGCGUGUGUGAAGAAGGUCUUCGGAUUGUAAAGCACUUUAAGUUGGGAGGAAGGGCAGUAAGUUAAUACCUUGCUGUUUUGACGUUACCGACAGAAUAAGCACCGGCUAACUUCGUGCCAGCAGCCGCCGUAAAAC